GCCAUUAAGAGAGGAGACCGGCCUGACAAAAUAUUAUGGGAGUAGUACAGAAUUUCCAUCUUUUCAUCAACUGACAAUUACUCUGUGGCAGAGCAACGAGCCAAACGGGGGGUUGACACCUCCAAUGUUGAAUCUGACGAGGAACCAGCGAAGAGGGCGGUGACUAAACCAAUCAGAUUCCAUGUAGAGCCACCUGAUGAUGAUGGAAGUGAAGCACUCCAGAAAAAGACAAAUGAACCCAGACAAGCCCAGCGUACAGUGCCACAGCUUCCACCAGCCCCUAGUG